rnacentral:rRNA from 1 species
GAGGUUAAGCGACUAAGCGUACACGGUGGAUGCCCUGGCAGUCAGAGGCGAUGAAGGACGUGCUAAUCUGCGAUAAGCGCCGGUAAGGUGAUAUGAACCGUUAUAACCGGCGAUUUCCGAAUGGGGAAACCCAGUGUGACUCGUCACACUAUCAUUAACUGAAUCCAUAGGUUAAUGAGGCGAACCGGGGGAACUGAAACAUCUAAGUACCCCGAGGAAAAGAAAUCAACCGAGAUUCCCCCAGUAGCGGCGAGCGAACGGGGAGGAGCCCAGAGCCUGAAUCAGCAUGUGUGUUAGUGGAAGCGUCUGGAAAGGCGCGCGAUACAGGGUGACAGCCCCGUACACAAAAGCGCAUGUGCUGUGAGCUCGAUGAGUAGGGCGGGACACGUGGUAUCCUGUCUGAAUAUGGGGGGACCAUCCUCCAAGGCUAAAUACUCCUGACUGACCGAUAGUGAACCAGUACCGUGAGGGAAAGGCGAAAAGAACCCCGGCGAGGGGAGUGAAAAAGAACCUGAAACCGUGUACGUACAAGCAGUGGGAGCACCCUUUGGGGUGUGACUGCGUACCUUUUGUAUAAUGGGUCAGCGACUUAUAUUCUGUAGCAAGGUUAACCGUAUAGGGGAGCCGGAGGGAAACCGAGUCUUAAUUGGGCGUUAAGUUGCAGGGUAUAGACCCGAAACCCGGUGAUCUAGCCAUGGGCAGGUUGAAGGUUGGGUAACACUAACUGGAGGACCGAACCGACUAAUGUUGAAAAAUUAGCGGAUGACCUGUGGCUGGGGGUGAAAGGCCAAUCAAACCGGGAGAUAGCUGGUUCUCCCCGAAAGCUAUUUAGGUAGCGCCUCGUGAAUUCAUCUCCGGGGGUAGAGCACUGUUUCGGCUAGGGGGCCAUCCCGGCUUACCAACCCGAUGCAAACUGCGAAUACCGGAGAAUGUUAUCACGGGAGACACACGGCGGGUGCUAACGUCCGUCGUGAAGAGGGAAACAACCCAGACCGCCAGCUAAGGUCCCAAAGUCAUGGUUAAGUGGGAAACGAUGUGGGAAGGCCCAGACAGCCAGGAUGUUGGCUUAGAAGCAGCCAUCAUUUAAAGAAAGCGUAAUAGCUCACUGGUCGAGUCGGCCUGCGCGGAAGAUGUAACGGGGCUAAACCAUGCACCGAAGCUGCGGCAGCGACGCUUAUGCGUUGUUGGGUAGGGGAGCGUUCUGUAAGCCUGCGAAGGUGGCCUGUGAGGGUUGCUGGAGGUAUCAGAAGUGCGAAUGCUGACAUAAGUAACGAUAAAGCGGGUGAAAAGCCCGCUCGCCGGAAGACCAAGGGUUCCUGUCCAACGUUAAUCGGGGCAGGGUGAGUCGACCCCUAAGGCGAGGCCGAAAGGCGUAGUCGAUGGGAAACGGGUUAAUAUUCCCGUACUUGGUGUUACUGCGAAGGGGGGACGGAGAAGGCUAUGUUGGCCGGGCGACGGUUGUCCCGGUUUAAGCGUGUAGGUGUGUGUUCCAGGUAAAUCCGGUUCACUUUAACACUGAGGCGUGAUGACGAGGCACUACGGUGCUGAAGCAACAAAUGCCCUGCUUCCAGGAAAAGCCUCUAAGCAUCAGGUAACAUCAAAUCGUACCCCAAACCGACACAGGUGGUCAGGUAGAGAAUACCAAGGCGCUUGAGAGAACUCGGGUGAAGGAACUAGGCAAAAUGGUGCCGUAACUUCGGGAGAAGGCACGCUGACACGUAGGUGAAGUGAUUUACUCAUGGAGCUGAAGUCAGUCGAAGAUACCAGCUGGCUGCAACUGUUUAUUAAAAACACAGCACUGUGCAAACACGAAAGUGGACGUAUACGGUGUGACGCCUGCCCGGUGCCGGAAGGUUAAUUGAUGGGGUCAGCGCAAGCGAAGCUCCUGAUCGAAGCCCCGGUAAACGGCGGCCGUAACUAUAACGGUCCUAAGGUAGCGAAAUUCCUUGUCGGGUAAGUUCCGACCUGCACGAAUGGCGUAAUGAUGGCCAGGCUGUCUCCACCCGAGACUCAGUGAAAUUGAACUCGCUGUGAAGAUGCAGUGUACCCGCGGCAAGACGGAAAGACCCCGUGAACCUUUACUAUAGCUUGACACUGAACAUUGAGCCUUGAUGUGUAGGAUAGGUGGGAGGCUUUGAAGUGUGGACGCCAGUCUGCAUGGAGCCGACCUUGAAAUACCACCCUUUAAUGUUUGAUGUUCUAACGUGGACCCGUGAUCCGGGUUGCGGACAGUGUCUGGUGGGUAGUUUGACUGGGGCGGUCUCCUCCUAAAGAGUAACGGAGGAGCACGAAGGUUGGCUAAUCCUGGUCGGACAUCAGGAGGUUAGUGCAAUGGCAUAAGCCAGCUUGACUGCGAGCGUGACGGCGCGAGCAGGUGCGAAAGCAGGUCAUAGUGAUCCGGUGGUUCUGAAUGGAAGGGCCAUCGCUCAACGGAUAAAAGGUACUCCGGGGAUAACAGGCUGAUACCGCCCAAGAGUUCAUAUCGACGGCGGUGUUUGGCACCUCGAUGUCGGCUCAUCACAUCCUGGGGCUGAAGUAGGUCCCAAGGGUAUGGCUGUUCGCCAUUUAAAGUGGUACGCGAGCUGGGUUUAGAACGUCGUGAGACAGUUCGGUCCCUAUCUGCCGUGGGCGCUGGAGAACUGAGGGGGGCUGCUCCUAGUACGAGAGGACCGGAGUGGACGCAUCACUGGUGUUCGGGUUGUCAUGCCAAUGGCACUGCCCGGUAGCUAAAUGCGGAAGAGAUAAGUGCUGAAAGCAUCUAAGCACGAAACUUGCCCCGAGAUGAGUUCUCCCUGAGACUUAAAGUCUCCUGAAGGAACGUUGAAGACGACGACGUUGAUAGGCCGGGUGUGUAAGCGCAGCGAUGCGUUGAGCUAACCGGUACUAAUGAACCGUGAGGCUUAACCUUAC